AGCGGCCCGGGGCGGGGACAGUCUAGGAACAGCCGCGGUUGCUGGGCUAGAAGCUCUGCCUCGGUUUCCCUCUCCGUAGACAUGGGGCGGUGUCACCCACCAGGACGUGCUGGCUGAGGACAAAGUCUGAGCCACCCGGGAGGAGACGGUGGGGCACACCAGCCCCGGGGCGACUGCGGAGAUGCGAAAGGCUCCUUGGGGCGCAGAUGCGGGAGGGGUAUGCGAGCCCCGCGAACAGUCCCAGGGUGACAGAACAGUGCAGGGGACUGAGGCCGAAAAGGAGGACCCGCCCGCAGACCCAACACCUCCAGACCACUGUCUGUGAGAGCUAGUCUGGUGAAAACAAGCGAAGGGGAAACUGGCCGUGGUGCACAGCUGAGCUAGAGGCUGAGGCAGCAAGAUCAGUGGAGUUCCAGCCCAGCCUCAGCCACAAAACCUAAUUGGGGUGGAGUGGCAGGUGUGGUGCACUCCUGGCCUAGCAUAGGUUAGACGGAAGCAGUAGGAUCAGGCUUUCAAGUCAUCAUUAACCAACAGCAAGUUCAAGGCCAGCCUGGGCUCCAGGAAAGCCACGUGCUUUUAGAAAAACUAUUACACUUGGUUGAUUAAUCAACUAAUUAAUUAAAACAAAAGACCCAAAAGAAAGCAUCCACUCUGAGGGUUUGUAUAGACAGGUGAAGCGAUGGCCGAGCUCAUGAGUCUGGUGCAGAGGGGACUCAGGGGAAGGGGACCUGGGGACUUGGACUCCUGACAUCACACCAGAGUUGUUCUGUGGCUGAAAGAGAGGGAAGGGGUUCAUUGCAGAGCCCUCAGUCUGCAUCUUGCUCCCCACAGCCCCAGGACACAGUCGCUGACACCCUCAGAGUCCCCAGGCUGUAAACUUCCUGGUCCCUCAGCCAGGACUGCUUCUUAGUUACUCAGCCCUCUCCCCAGCUUCCAGCCCGCCCUCUAGGAUGAGCCUGUGGAUGACAUAAAUACACUCCCUCUGAGUCUCACCUAGAAAAUGGCAGCCUCUUUUUCUCUGCUGCAUAGUAUUCUGGUGGCUUGACAAGGCUAACCUCUUUGGGAGCAAGGGAGCCUCUGAGAUACAUUUAGCAGGGAUGCGAGGGUGUGGCUGAGGUCAGUUCCUUGUAGUUCCUGCUGAUAGUUUCCAAAGAGCCUACUCUCCGGACAGGAACUCACUGCUGGAUAGAACCUUGUAACUAUCAGUCAGAGUCAGCCAAAUGUAUCUGAAGGUGCUGUCCUGUCCUGACGUGCAUCAUGGCUCCCAGUGUCCUGGAGAGGCAAACUCUGCCAGGGCUUCUUCAGAAGGCGGGCCUGGGCCAAUCUGCCUGCAGCCCAUGGUUGAAGCUAACCCCCAUAGAAGGCCAAGACCCUCCCUUGCUUGGUGCCCAGAGCCCUCCCUCCUUUAGCCCAUCCCCUCCUUCUGUCAUCCGGGCAUAGCUCUGGAAAGAGGGAGCGCAAGGCUCUGAAGCGGCUACUACGCAGGGAGACGCGAAGGCGGGGACAAGGGAGGGGGCGGGGGGUAUAAAAGUGGCCGCUGCGAAGCUAGCAGAGGAGCCUCUUUCCAGCCCCUGCCGCCAGCAACAGAGGCCAGGACGCAGGUAUCCCUGGAGAGCGGCCCUGGCCCCGAGGAGGAGUGGGGUCCUCCCUCUGGUCCCCACAGUCCCAGGACACAAUCCUUGAAGGUUGCCUGGAGGAAGAGAGCGACAGAGGUGGGGAAGCAUGGCCACCGAGGCGACAUUGGCUCCCAAUGUGACCUGGUGGGCUCCGUCCAACGCUUCAGGAUGCCCAGGCUGCGGUGUCAACGCCUCGGAUGACCCAGGCUCUGCGCCAAGGCCCCUGGAUGCCUGGCUGGUUCCCCUGUUUUUCGCUACACUCAUGUUGCUUGGGCUGGUCGGAAACUCAUUGGUCAUCUACGUUAUCUGCCGCCACAAGCACAUGCAGACAGUUACCAACUUCUACAUCGCUAACCUGGCUGCCACAGACGUCACUUUCCUACUGUGCUGCGUGCCCUUCACCGCACUCCUCUACCCGCUGCCCGCCUGGGUGCUGGGAGACUUCAUGUGCAAAUUCGUCAACUACAUCCAGCAGGUCUCGGUGCAAGCCACAUGUGCCACUCUGACGGCCAUGAGUGUGGACCGCUGGUAUGUGACUGUGUUCCCGCUGCGUGCACUUCACCGCCGCACUCCGCGCCUGGCCCUGGCUGUCAGCCUCAGCAUCUGGGGUCAGCAGCUGUGUCCGCCCCGGUGCUGGCCCUGCACCGCCUGUCGCCAGGGCCUCGCACCUACUGCAGCGAGGCGUUUCCCAGCCGCGCCCUGGAGCGCGCCUUCGCGCUCUACAACCUGCUGGCUCUAUAUCUGCUGCCGCUGCUCGCCACCUGCGCCUGCUACGGCGCCAUGCUGCGCCACCUGGGCCGUGCGGCUGUACGCCCCGCACCCACUGACGGCGCCCUGCAGGGACAGCUGCUAGCACAGCGCGCCGGAGCAGUGCGCACCAAGGUCUCCCGGCUGGUGGCCGCUGUCGUCCUGCUCUUCGCCGCCUGCUGGGGCCCGAUCCAGCUGUUCCUGGUGCUUCAAGCCCUGGGCCCCUCGGGGGCCUGGCACCCUCGAAGCUAUGCCGCCUACGCGGUCAAGAUCUGGGCUCACUGCAUGUCCUACAGCAACUCGGCGCUCAAUCCGCUGCUCUAUGCCUUCCUGGGUUCACACUUCAGACAGGCCUUCUGCCGCGUGUGCCCCUGCUGCCGGCAACGCCAGCGCCGGCCCCACACGUCAGCGCACUCGGACCGAGCUGCAACUCACACUGUGCCGCACAGCCGUGCUGCGCACCCUGUGCGGAUCAGGAGCCCGGAGCCUGGGAACCCUGUGGUGCGCUCGCCCUGCGCUCAGAGUGAACGCACUGCCUCACUCUGAGCCGGUCCUGCCUGUGGGGUGCUGAGAACCGAACCAGGAGUUUGUGUUUAUGGGGCAAGCAAUGAACUACUAAACUAAAUGCCCACUCUCUCUUUUUCCUCCUUUCCCACUUAUGUGUUUCUGAAACAGGGUUUCAUGUAACCUAGGCUGGUCUGUCUCCAACUCUAUGUACCAUGGCUGACUCUGAUCCUACUGCCAUGACUUUGGGACCUAAGCCACCAAGUCUAGCUUUGCUUUUUCUAUUUUGAGACAAGGUCCCAACAUGGGGCAGGUCACAAAUGUCACCACAAGACUGGAGUCCAAGGUCAUCCUCGGCUACAUAAAAUGUUCCAGGCCAGCCUGGCUGACUGCUGAUCUGGUAUCAAAAGCAAACAAGCAAGACUCUUUGAGAUGGCCACGCCUUUAAUCCCAGCUUUUGAGAGGCAGAGGCAGGAGGAUCUCUGUUAGUUUGAGGCCUACAGAAUGAGUUCCAGGACAGCCAGGGCUACAGAGAGAGAUAACAUGUCUCCCAAAACAGCAACAUGUCUGAAGAGACAGCUGAGUGGCUAAGAACACUGCCUGCUCUUCCAGAGGACCCAAGUGCAGGUCUCAGCAUCCACUGACCAUCUGUAAGUGUAGUUCAAGGGCAUCUGAUGCUCCAUGCACACAGUGUACGAUCACACAUGUAGACAAGAUACCCAUACACAUACAUUUUUUUUUGUUUUGUUUUUUCAAGACAGGGUUUCUCUGUGUUGCCCUGGCUGUCCUAGAAUUCACUUUGCAGGCCAGUCUGGCCUUGGCCUCGACUUUGGAGAUCCACCUGCCUCUGCCUCCUGUGUGCUAGGAUUAAAGGGGUGUGCUGCCACGCCCAGCUCAUAUUAAGUUUUCUUAAUUCAAACAGAGAGUGAGUUUGUCAACAGUUAAGUGUUCAUCCUGUUUUUCCGGAGGACCUGAGAGUUCAAUUCCCAGCACCCACAUCAGGUGGCUCAUAAAGGCCAGAAGAGAGAUCCCCUGGGACUGGAGUUAAUGUGGUUGUGAGGUUCCGUGUAGGUACUGGGAAUGGAACUAAGGCUCUGUGGCAGAGGAUCCAGUUCUCUUAACCCCUGAGCCAUCCCUCAGCCCCACCUUAUGGGUAUUAGUUUUGAGAUAGGGUCCCAGUAGGUGUAGUUCUGAGUGACAGGGAGGUGACCAUGUAGAGCAGGCUAGCCCAGACCUCACAGUAAUCUUUCUGCUUCUGAGUGCUGAGACUGAAGGCAGAGGGAGCACGCCAUGCCUGGCUCCAUCUCGCUAUGGAAGGGGCUCUUUCUGAAUCUGGAGCUAGGAAUUCCUCUAGGCUGGCUGGCCUGGAACACCAGAAAUCCUCCUGUCUCCCAGUGCUGGAGUGAAGGUGCACACCACCAGGCCUGGGUUUCUUCAGGGGCCCUGGGGACUGAACUCUUCCCACAAUGAAACCCUCACCCUUCAAGGCAAGCGCUUCAUGGACUGAAUCAUUUCCUGAGGGGGGCGAAGUUUGAAGAAGAAAACAAAGAAAACGGUUAUAUUGCCUCUAAGGGGGCAUUGGUGGGCUCAGAAUCAUGGAAGAGGAAUGAACUGAUCAUAGCUGCUCAGCCAGGGUGACUAGGAAGCAGAAGGAAGUAGCAGACAGGACGUGUCUCAACCCCCCUCCCCCUUCCCCAUGCCCUCCUCCUCCUCCAACCAAUGUAGGCAAAAUGUCUGUUUGUUUUGUUUUUGUUUUUUUUUACACUGUGUAAAGUUCACCCUUGUGUUAUUUAAAUGCUGAUCUCUGUGCCCUCAAAUCUUGUUUCAAUCCAGACAGGGCAUUGUAAUGCUUAUACUAAGAGCUUCCCUUAAUGAGUUUGUGUAAACAAUUCUUACCAUUUAUUCUCUGCCUUGUCAAUAAAUGCUGAUCACCCAA